AUCCCGCCUCACCAGCCGCCGCACGCGGCGCCCGGCUCCCCCGGGCGCCCCUGGUGGAGCCCGAGCACCCACUACUGAACUUGGAGGCUGUUAAACGGCAGGCGAACAAGCAGCCACAUCUUAAAAGGCAGCGUUGGGGGGUCAAGAAAGAACCAUCUGGGAGGGCUCCACCCUUCCCCACCUGCAGAAAAGAGCCGAGGUGAAGCCAAGACGCCUGUCACUGCCUCGCUGGGGGUGAAAAAAAAAAAAAAACCCACAAAGAAAAGAGGCUCCUCGCAAAAUGAGACUCGGCAGUCCCUUCCCUGGGAUCCAAGGAGAACGCGACCCGGACGCCGAAGAGCAGGGAACCAGUACAACUUUCUCACUGAGACUGAUCCCCUUUUCUCUUCCAACCGUAAAAGACAGCAACCCCGGCUGUCAUCCCAUCCGCGACUGCGCCCACCGGGCUUGGCUCUCUCCAGGAAAGCCCUGAAAACCCCCAGCAGGUCUGUCCUCGUGUGACUCCCUAAAAGAGGGUAACUGGAGGACGGUUGUCCCUCCCUGGAAAAUCAGUGCCCUUCCACACCACAGCAUCCUGGAUCCCCAGUACUGACAUCCCUGUGAAGAUUCAGCCUGCUCAAGUCCUGGCCCGGUGAAGGAUUGGGAAUGAAGUCAGCAUGAGUAUGCAGCUAAGGCUGUAUGUAGCCAAAGAGCAAGGAGACUCUGCGGUGGACAGUCCUUUGUCUGCCUGCCCUCCCCGCCCCCCAGUACCAGCACCCCCUCCCCUUCUGAAGAGCCAACUGAAUCUUCCUCCCUGCAGGUGCUUCGGGAACAACGAGGACCAAUCCUCCAUUUGCCUAUUCGUUCCCCCACCACCACCACCACCACCACCACCAGAAGAACAGAUGCAACCACAUUUCAGCACCAUCCUGGGCAUUUCUUUUCCCGUCCUCUCUGUUGCUUUUCUAACUUCUGUCCACCUUUCCUCAGUCGGCGGUUGCUUUGACAAGCCGCACAUAACUGUCCUAAAAAGAUGACCUUGUGAGAGGAAGGCUAUGUCAACCUCCACCCCAUUGACCUUCAUCAUUCACGCCGCCGAUGAUAUCGGACAUAAAAGCACAGUGCCUGAGGGGAGAGAGAGAGAGAGAGAGAGAGAGAGAGAGAGAGAGAGAGAGAGAGAGAGAGAGAACAGUGCGGUGUCAGACCCGCAGUAGCAGCAGCAGCAGCAGCAGCAGCCAUCUCCUGAGAGUGCGGCUGGAGAUGCUAAUGCUUGGGCUCCGCCCCAGAAGUUGUGAAUCAGGAAUUCGGUGGGUGGGCCCCGAGCAGUCUUUCACAGGCUGCCUCCCCAGGGGAUUCUUCUGCGCACUGAAGUUAGCGAAGCACUGAUCCAGCUUGAGGAUGAAGAAGGGCUAGCUAGAAAACCGAAGUUUGUGUCCUGGCUUUGUUUCUUUGAGACAGGGUCUCGCCUACCCCAGGCAGGCCUGACUCACAAACUUUAACCAUAGAGCGCCCACACCAUUCAUGUAGUCCUGGGGACCAAACCCAGGGCUUUGCUCAUGCUAGGCACACAGCACUCAGUACCAGGCUUUUUCCUUGGGGGCCACCAACCAGCUCCCAAAUCAUGACACAGAGACUUACUAGCUUUGAUGCGUGGCCUAGCUUGGGAACGUUUCUGGCUAGCUCUUAACUCGACCUGUUUCUCUUUAUCUACCUUUUGCCUCAGGACUUGUUACCUUCCUUCCAUAUAUCCUACUUUCACUGAUUCUUUCUUCCCGGAUUCUUUCUUCCAGGCUGCCUGGCGUCUGCCUGGCUUCUUGCCCCGGGCAUGUCCCUCCUUCUCUCCUCUUCUCAUUCUUCCUUUUCCAGCCUAGAUUUCUCCUAGUUACUCUCUAUGCCUGGCUAUUGGACAUUCAGCUCUUUGUUAGACCAAUCAGGUGCCUUAGGCAGGCAAGGUGAAACAAAUGCAGCACAUCUUUACAUAGUUAAACAAAUUCAGCAAACACAAAAGUAACACACCUUUACACAGCUAAAGGAACAUUCUGCAGCAUAAACAAACUCAUCUUUGCCCAGUUGAAAUAAGAUUCCACAGCAGCCCUCCAAGUAUGCCUUAUCCGCAGCCUGUUUCUAGCUUUGUAGUUUUGGUUAAGUUAUGCAAGUUACUUCAAGUGUGUAAACACUGUAAGUGCUGUGAAGUGAUAAGCAAGUAGCAGAAUGGUUGUGAAAAUCAUUACAAACUACCACACAUUCACUGCGAAGUAUUAUCUCCCAUCCCUGCCCUUUCCCAUAGCUGUCUGGAUUACAGAGUGUCCUAGUCAGGGAUUAGGUGUUCCAAAAGGAAGUAUUCCUAAUCCCCCAAAGGCUCUUCCUAGUAAAAACCAAGAUAUACUGUCCUCUCAUAAAGAUAUGACAAAUAUGCACAUGGUGCACAAACAUACAUGCACUUAUAAUAAAAUCUCCAAAUAAAAAGAAAUGAUAGAGUUGA